rnacentral:rRNA from 1 species
GAGGAAUAUUGGUCAAUGGGCGAGAGCCUGAACCAGCCAAGUAGCGUGCAGGAUGACGGCCCUCCGGGUUGUAAACUGCUUUUAGUUGGGAAUAAAAAAAGGGACUUGUCCCUUCUUGUAUGUACCUUCAGAAAAAGGACCGGCUAAUUCCGUGCCAGCAGCCGCGGUAAUACGGAAGGUCCAGGCGUUAUCCGGAUUUAUUGGGUUUAAAGGGAGCGUAGGCGGAUUGUUAAGUCAGCGGUUAAAGGGUGUGGCUCAACCAUGCAUUGCCGUUGAAACUGGCGAUCUUGAGUGCAGACAGGGAUGCCGGAAUUCGUGGUGUAGCGGUGAAAUGCUUAGAUAUCACGAAGAACUCCGAUCGCGAAGGCAGGUGUCCGGGCUGCAACUGACGCUGAGGCUCGAAAGUGUGGGUAUCAAACAGGAUUAGAUACCCUGGUAGUCCACACAGUAAACGAUGUAUACUCGCGGUUUGCGAUAGACAGUAAGCCGCCAAGCGAAAGCAUUAAGUAUACCACCUGGGGAGUACGCCGGCAACGGUG